AGGGCAUGGGAAAAGGGGAAGAACACGCAUCUCCCUUAACUCCAUGUAGCUCAAAUCAAACUCGGACAUCAGCUUUCGUGCCAUAUCCAAAUGGCAACAAAGAUCCAAGCAACAUUCAGCAAAAUGUUGGUUACCCAUUUCCCUAUGGGAUGCCACCUAGCUGCCCAUUUAUCUCUACGAGCUCCGAACCAAGCGCAAGAACCAGUCAAGAAGAUAGUCCCAAUUGUCUGGGAACUGAAGCGCAAUGUUCUUCCGCACAAGUUGACGAAGAAAUUAUCCUGGAUAGUCCAGAUCUACGGGAAACUGACGAUGGCAUUCCCGAUACACCACAAGUAGUGCCAUCAUCGACUGUUGAGGAUAUCAUUCAGGAGCCAAAGUCCGGGAUGGAAUUCAAUUCUUUUGAGGAUUUGUUAACAUUGACAUAUUAUAAGCAUUAUGCAAAACAGUGCGGGUUUGGGGUGAUGACACAGAGGAGUGAGAGGUCGGAGAAUCAGAGUGUCAGAUAUGUCACUCUUGGUUGUGCACGGGGAGGAAAGGCGCGGAUUAAGAGUUCCAAUGUCGCCAACCCACAUCCGACGGAAAAGACUGACUGUAAGGCAAGGAUUAAUGCCUUAAGAGUCGAGGGAAAGAUGCGGGUGAAAACAGUCCAUAAUACACAUAAUCAUCAUACCAGCCCACAGAAAUCCCGAUUUUUUUGGGCCAUCAGAGGUAGAUAUCACCAAUCCUGGUGAAGUAGAGCCUGUCCUAGAUAGCUCAAUUUACAAGAGCGGUGGAAUCCAGCACCAAGAAUCAUUUGUUGGUAGCCAAGAAAGUUUUAUUUUUGGGUUGGAUGGCACACAACCGGAUCUUCCUAGGUGGUGAUGGAUCACAAUCGGUGCAAAAAGGUCGGAUGGUGAGAAUAAUGGUUGGUCGCAUAUUUGUUAUGGGAUGUAAAUUUGAAAAAUGUAUUUCCAACAGUUUUUUGUAAAUCAUGUACAUUCCCGGAACUAUUUAGUGUUUUUCAUAGAUUUUUGAGUCCGGGAUGGAGUUAAAGAAUAUUUGUACAUUUCC